ensembl:lncRNA
AUGUGUGCGUCAGGAAGAUUCUUUUUGUCUACUACAGAUCUUCGUACGAUGACCCAACGAAACAGUAAGUGUUGUGUUCCUCCAUGCUCUCGUCCUAUGUAUGAGCUGGAUACGCAUGAUUACUGUUUUGUUUGUUUGGGGGAAGAGCACGCGGUUCUGGCUUUAGAGACGGGCGAGUGCGAGCAUUGUGAACUGUUCUCAGUGAAGAUGCUUCGUGCUCGUCUGAACUAUUUUCAGACCGCACCCACCUUUUCGUCGGAGGGCUCUCGUGCGGGUCUGCGUGACGAGCGAGCGACGGGCCCGUCCCUUUCGCUUGCAGUGUCACCAGAUCCACGCAUCCUCUCUCGUGAUCUCGAAGCGCGCUCCGGUGCUUCUUCGAUUCACGAGGAGGAUGAUAUAUCUCUUGAGUCUUCGGGCGAUGAGCAGGCCUCUGAACGCUCCUCUCGCGAGAGGAAAUCGGUCGAGGAGCUGCUCGAGGUGGUUACUCGCGCGGUGGACAGGCUGCAGCUUGACUGGCCACGCGACCAAGAGACCCCCAAACGUAGUAAGCUGGAGGAUAGGUUUCUGUCGGGUGGUAGGAGAGAGAGACCGCAACAUCAGUCUCUCCCCUUUUUCGAGGACCUCCAUGAUGAACUGUCGAAGUCAUGGAGCAAACCAUAUACUUCCCGCAUCUUUGUGCCCUCGACGUUGACUUUUUCAACUAUCGUGGAUGCAAAAUCGCGGGGAUAUUCGGAGAUGCCUCGGGUUGAAGAGUCGCUUGCGAGCUAUCUCUCACCUGAAUCUGCAUCCUCGGUGAAGAAACCUACUCUCCCCACUAAACCUUGUAGAAUUACAUCAUCGCUAGUGGGUAAAGCUUAUCAAGCUGCAGGUCAGGCUGGUGCUGCGCUGCACACUAUGGCAGUGUUACAGGCAUACCAGGCUGACCUAUUGAAGGACUUGAGUGUGGGCAGUACAAUCGACGAGGAAGCAUUCGCUGAGCUUCGUCGGGCCACAGAUUUGUCUCUCCGGGCGACCAAGCAGACGGCUCGUGCCAUUGGCCGGUCGAUGUCAGCUUUAGUCAGCACGGAGAGGCAUCUGUGGCUUAAUUUGACGGGCAUUAAAGAGAAGGAACGUUUGUUUCUUUUAGACUCCCCUAUCUCUCCAUCUGGCCUGUUUGGCGAUUCAGUUAAUUCGGUCGUCGACAGGUUUAGGGAAGUAAAGAAACAUGAAGAAGCGUUCGUUCAGUUUCUUCCUCGCCGCACUCAAGGGGAGGGGCCAUCAGCCACCCAGCCUCGCCCCGGUCCUUCAAAAACCAGGGAGGUUAAAAAGCAGAGCGUGGCAGACCGUGCUCCCCCUCGUAGGGAUUGGGGACAGGUUCGCCGUGCUCAGCAACCUCCCAAGCCAGACCUCAGGACUUUUAUUAAUAGGAAGAAGAAGUCCUGA